rnacentral:snRNA from 1 species
GGAUGUGAGGGCCAUCUGGAGUCACUCCAUUGAGCUGAGCUGGCUGACUAGGCAGAUGUUCCCUCCUCCCUCACUACUCCAGUGUUCGUCCCUCCUCCUUCUGUCAAGGAUAUAGAAUAGCUGCACUCCCCUGCUAGAACUUCCAAACAGGCUCUCAAGAAUUUAUUUUCAGUUCCAGGACAACCAGAGCUAUACAGAGAAAUGCUGACACAAAAAGAAGAAUGAUUUUUUUUUUUUUUUAUUAACUUU